GCUUAUGGCCAUACCAGCCUGGCUAUGCCCGAUCUUGUCUGAUCUCGGAAGCUAAGCAGGUUUGGGCCUGGUUAGUACAUGGAUGGGAGACUGCCUGGGAAUACCAGGUGCUUUAAAUU
rnacentral:rRNA from 1 species